rnacentral:lncRNA from 1 species
AUCUUCGACCUUUUAUCUUUCUGGUGUACGGAUCUGGUUAUACCAUUUUGAAAACGUAAAGUAAGGCCUAUUUAACUUGUAUUAAUGAAAUAUCAGAGCUUACGCUCAUUUAAAAGUGUCAGACUGUAUUAGACUGUUUCAUUAGUGAUCAUGCUAUUUCGCAAAUCUAUCAUUAAUGACCAUUUAUGUCAGGCUAAAGUUUUCAUUCCAAUCUUACAGGUUGCUCUAAUUUUGAGUUAUUUAGAGGUCAGCUAUUUUGUUGGAAAACGUCAUUAGAUUUUAUCAUGUUUAUUAACGUCUGACUUUAAACAUGAACAGUUAAGGUAAAAGUAGAUCAAAUAUUGAUUAGUUGGUACGAUACAAGGCAACGGGAGAUAACUCUACCGUAUUCAAAAUAAUUAAAAAUAUAUCUUAAUAUCAUUAAUGCACAAAUUAAGUAAAAACAUCCUUACAAAAUUGAUAUUUUGUUACAUUUUGAAGUCGUUCUAUCAAUAUAGGACAGACAGGUUCAGUUUCUUCGUUAAUACUUAGCAAAUCAUAAAAGGUGAUAGUGGCGCCUUGACUACUCCACAAAUAUAUUUUUGCUGAAAUGUUUUAAAUGUACCCUAUUCUUUACUUUUCAACGAAAAUGUCAAUGGGCGAGGGUUGGCGCCACAUAUUAUGUUAUACAGAAAAAAAAAACAUUUUGAAUUUCAAAACAAUUACACUACAAUGAAAUUUUUUUUUCAGGCUUAUAUACUUAAUUUUAAUAUUUGAAUUAAAGUACAUACAUUUCGGCUUAUUAUAAAUACUUUCAGGAAUAAUACAUUUAGCAAUACAUACACAUUAAACUUAGUCGAACAGGUUUUGUUUUCAAAAUACACCUUCACAUGUACGUUGAUAUGGGAUACUUUAUUUACUCCUUUAUAAAAUUCAUUGGAAACUUCAAAUUGAUAAAAAGCUGAGUAUGUUUUAUGUACUUGAAUGGUUAAGUUUUACUUUAAAACAAAUGUAUUCUUAGCAGUAUCUGCAACUAUUAAUGUCUUCUCGUUUUCUUUUCCCUAUGUAGUAUCAUAAACACUUCGGUGUUGACAUGAAUAUCAAUUAUAUGGUCAUUUUUAUAAAUUUCCUGUUUACAAAACUUUAAAUUUUUCGAAAAACUUAGGAUUUUCUUACCCCAGGAAUAGAUUACCUUAGCCGUAUUUGACACAAUUUUCUGGAAUUUUGGGGUCCUCAAUGCUCUUCAACUUUGUAUUUUUUUGGCUGUUUAACUGUUUUGAUCUGAGCGUCACUGACGAGUCUUAUGUAGACGAAACGCGCAUAUUGCGUAUUAAAUUAUAAUCCUGGUACCUUUGAUAACUAUUUACACCACUGGGUCGAUGCCACUGCUGGUGGACGUUUCGUCCCUGCGGGUAUCACAAGCCCAGUAGUCAGCACUUCAGUGUUGACAUGAAUAUCAAUUAUAUGGUCAUUUUUAUAAAUUUCCUGUUUACAAAACUUUAAAUUUUUCGAAAAACUGAGGAUUUUCUUACCCCAGGAAUAGAUUACCUUAGCCGUAUUUGGCACAACUUUUUGAAAUUUUGGGCCCUCAAUGCUCUUCAACUUUGAAUUUGUUUGGUUGUUUAACUGUUUUGAUCUGAGCGUCACUGAUGAGUCUUAUGUAGACGAAACGCGUGUCUGGCGUAUUAAAUAAUAAUCCUGGUACCUUUAAUAACUAUUAUGUACUUGAAUGGUUAAGUUUUACUUUAAAACAAAUGUAUUCUUAUCAGUAUCUGCAACAAUUAUUGUCCUCCCGUUUUCUUUUUCGUAUGUAGUAUCAUAAACUACAAGACGUCACGUUAGUAGUCGUCACAUUCACAUGGUGAGAGAGAAAACCCGUGAUGAAGGAACAUGAAAACACUAUUUAAUUUUGCGAUUUUUUUUUUUAUUUACUUGAUGAAGUUUGAUAAAGGAAAAUCAAAGUUUUAUAAAUUCGCAACGAUUUUUAUUCGCGUUAUUUUUUUACUCACAAAAGUCGCGAAAAUAAUUCGCGCGCGAUUUAAAAUUAGGUUUUACUGCAGACGUUUGUAUCACCAAUAAUUUUCUUUGUUGUACUCUUCUUCUUGUGUUUGUCUUUGGAUGAAAAACGAUGUGAUUUAUUCCAAAUUUUUAUACAUUGAUCUCUUUAAUAUAUAAUUCCUUGAGUAUACUUUGAAACAGUUCUAUUCAAAAUAAUUACAGAACCACAUAGGCUAAACGGUUUCUGCAAAAAAGGACAGAAAAAAAAUUAACAGAAACUAAAUAACAUAUGUUUGUUUUAGAAAUUGGUUAUCAAGAUAAACACUGGCAGAAAUAACCGAUUGCCUCACAAAAUCUAUUUGGUUUAAAAACAAACUCAAAACCGUCGUCUGUUUUCAGAGUGCACAGAGUUUAUAGAAAAAGUUCAGUGACUUAAAAAUUUCAGCACUCAAAUUUCAAAAUCUUUUUUUUAAAACUCAUUAACCCUAUAGUAAUCUAAACAUACUUUUCAACUGAUUUUUAUAGUUCUUUUUUAUGUUGUACUGUUAAACCACUGUCCCAGGUUAGGGGGGAUCCCUCUAACAUGUUUAACCCCGCAACAGUAUGUAUGUAUGUGCUGGUCCCAAGUCAGGAGCCUGUAAUUCAUUGGUUGUCGUUUGUUUAUGUGUUACAUAUUUGUUUUUCGUUCAUUUUUUUUUUUAUAUAAAUAAGGCCGUUAGUUUUCUCGUUUGAAUUGGUUUACGUUGUCAUUUUGAGGCCUUUUAUAGCUGACUGUACGGUAUGAGCUUUGCUCAUUGUUGAAUGCCAUACGGUGACCUAAAGUUGUUAAUUUCUGUGUCAUUUUGGUCUCUUGUGAACAGUUGUCGCAUUGGCAAUCAUACCCCAUCUUCUUUUUUAUAUUUUGCCGGAACAAACAAAAAUAACGCAUAUGAUCGGACAUAAAUGGAAAAUAUCAAGUUCAUCUUAAGAAACGAUACGACAAGCUACAGAGGAUUGUUUAUAUAUAUAUAGUGCGGGCGAGUAGAAAUAUAGAUAAUAAUUCACUUUUUUUUUCUAAACAAGAUAUGUGUAUAUAUAUUGUUCAGUCUGCAAUUAAACCUGUUGCUUAAAUGUUCUAUUAAUUUACUUCUCAGUCGUUGACGUUGAUUCUUUCAAAACUGAGCAUUAAUUUUGUGUGGUUUAAGAAAUUGAUAUCAAAAGGUGGUGUUACUAGUAAUUUUCAUAUUGUUUUUAUCCCAAAAAAUUGUAGGACAUCAGGUAAGGAGGUUUUAAUACUAUACAUGUCAUUUCUGUAAUAAGUAUGGCAUGUAUAAGAAAUUUAAUGUGCGGUUAAUUAUAUUAUAAAGAUGGUAAGUUAAUAUGCCGUGAUAGAUCAGUUAUAAAUCAUAAAUAGAUGCCAAUGUCCAAAAACUCAUCAAUAUUUUCUGCAAAAAUAACCUUAUAAAGAUACACUCAUGUCGUUUUUUAGAAGAAGAAAAAUAUAACAAACUAGCAAACAACAACCACAAUGGUCCAAGCAAACUAGUAACGAGGCAAUAUUUACAUGACGAAAUGAUAUCCUCGGGAAUAUUCAACAAUUAGCAACUCCAAUUAAGUUAUAGCAAAUAAUCUUUCUAUUUGAUUUCUGUACUCAACGAUUGUGUAUAGUAUAUGAAAUUGGCCCUGUGUAGAGUUGGCAUUCUAAUCCAAUUUAUAAAUGGCAUUAUACGUAACCAUAAACGUCUUAUUCUUUUUUCAGUUUAUCUCACCAUGGAGGAUUCGAGAGAUCUUUGUGGAGUUUGUACUUUACGUCAUGUCCCAAAAUCCUCUAUUGUCUGGUGUACUGAAUGUGAUGAAGGAUUGUGUAUAGAAUGUGAAGAACAUCAUAGUUUGUCAAAAUUUUCAAGAAACCAUGUCACAAUACCAGUAACCGAGUACCAGAAAUUACCUUCUGAUGUAUUGAAUAUAAAUCAAUACUGUAAAAUCCACAAUGAAAAAUAUAUCAUUUACUGCAAGAAACAUGAAAGUCACAAUGAGUGCCGUGAUAUCGUAAAACUAGCUGAAGUCAUAAAGAACGCAAAGUUUUCAAAUGCUUUCUAUGAAAUGGAACAAACUCUAGUCGAAGUUUUAGAAAAAAAAAGGAAAAUUCGUGAAAACUGCCAAGAAAACAUUAAAACAUUAUUAAAACAAAGAGCAAAAAUUGAAGGGGAUAUCGAACAGACCCGCAUAACUAUCAACAAACAUCUUGACAAAAUAAAAAAACGAUAUAAUGGAGGAAUUAAGCGAGGUUGAAAAAAAAGAAAACAAGGAGAUCGGUAAUCUCAUAAAAUUGCUGGAAGAAAGGGAAAACGAGAUAUCAGAUUUUCAGAGGAAAUUUUCAAGCAUUAAACAAUACGAGUCAGACUUACAGGCGUUUCUUGCUUUGAAACAGUUAGAAAAAGACGUAUUCCUGGAAGAAGAGUUUCUACAGUCACUUGUCGAUAAACAUUCCAUAAAACAGUAUUCGUUGAUAUAUCAGCCAAAUGCCACCUUACAAAAUUUUGUAUCAAAUGUAGUGACGUUUGGUAAAAUUCUCAUUGAAACCAAACAACACGAUACUUUCCUGACCACGAGCAAGAGAAAACAAGCCCAAAUGACGGUACAAGAAGCAAAAUCAAAGGCAAUUGAAGAUAUCAAUCUGAAGCUUCACAUGACAAUAAAUGGAACGGGAAAUUAUGUCUCCGGCUGUUGUAUGUUACCAGAUAAUAGAACGAUAUUUACAAAUCAUUACAGCAAAAGUUUGAGAAUUUUAAAGAAAGGUGGAUCUUUCGAUUGCGACUUUAAGACAUCACAUUCAACAUAUGAUGUAGAAUGUAUCUAUAAAGAUACAUUGGUUGUAACAUCCGGUGAUUCCAAAAGCAAAUGCAUUACCAUUGUCGAUAUGAAAUAUAAACGAGUGAAUAAAAUUAUACCACUUAAUUCGGUCGCAUAUAGUAUAACAGGAACAGAUGGUGGGCUUUUUUAUUUCGGAGGAGAAUGGGAAAUCCAAAUGAUCAAUCUACAGGACGAGACAGUUCACCAAGUAGUUCGAGGAGAAUCAAUACCCGGAAACGGUUACGUUACAACAUUUUUUUACAAUGUUUACCAAACAAGACCAAGCAAAAAUACUGUGAUAUGUUAUGACCUUACAGGAAACACACAAUGGACAUUCAAGAAUGAUAAUGUUCUCAAGUAUCCAGCCGGUAUCUCUGUAGACAAAGUUGGAAAUGUCUUCGUAGUCGGACACCUAAGUAACAAUGUUGUAGUAAUAUCUGGUGAUGGGAAACGACACAGAGAAGUACUUUCAUCAAAAGAUGGACUCUCAAACCCAUGGGCUCUACAUUAUAAUCAAUUUACCGAUCAACUUCUUGUUGCAAAUGUUCACUCCAACGCUGUUAUUUACGACUGUGUCUGAAAAUACAAUGUUGUCGAAUAACUAGUCAUAUAUCACUGUAACAUACGAAACAUUGAACGAUACCAAUGCAAUUAUCAAUAAACGUCUAGUGCAGGAUAUGUAAGAAUGUAUCUUAUCUACCUUAAUAAAAAAAUUGAAAACAAC